GUAAGGAAUAUUGGUCAAUGGGCGCAAGCCUGAACCAGCCAUGCCGCGUGCAGGAAGACGGCCCUCCGGGUUGUAAACUGCUUUUGUACGGGAAUAAACCUCGCUACGUGUAGCGAGCUGAAUGUACCGUAAGAAUAAGGAUCGGCUAACUCCGUGCCAGCAGCCGCGGUAAUACGGAGGAUCCAAGCGUUAUCCGGAUUUAUUGGGUUUAAAGGGUGCGUAGGCGGCCUGUUAAGUAAGGGGUGAAAGACGGUGGCUCAACCAUCGCAGUGCCCUUGAUACUGAUGGGCUGGAAUAGACUAGAGGUAGGCGGAAUGUGACAAGUAGCGGUGAAAUGCAUAGAUAUGUCACAGAACACCGAUUGCGAAGGCAGCUUACUAUGGUCUGAUUGACGCUGAGGCACGAAAGCGUGGGGAUCGAACAGGAUUAGAAACCCGUGUAGUCC
rnacentral:rRNA from 1 species